UCUGUUCCUGUCACCUCUCCUAAUUCUGGAAUUUGAGAGUCCAGACCUCUCCCACCAUAACACUACUUCUGAAUUUCUGAAUGUCUAAACUAACAGCCACAACUCCUAUUUAUAACCAGAAAUUUAAUAACCACCCCUAGGCAGUUUUGAUAGAACAUAACUAACAUAAACUGAUGUAAAUAACUAAUAAUAACUAACCCAAUAACUACCCCAACAUAUAAUUAAAUAAUAACUUUCUAACUGCAAUCUAACUGCUACUGCUGUUACUGUUCACGAGCACUGUUCAUCCUAUCAAUACCCCGCCCUAAAAGAUCCACCUUGUCCUCAAGGUGGGAAGUAGGCAAUGCUCCUUGAAUGUAGGUUGGCUCCCCUCACUUUCUAAGUUAAAAGUGGAAUUUAAUUAAGCACAUGGUAGGUGGGCCUGUGCACUUAUCCACGCUUCAAGCCCAAAGGGCUCUUGCGUGAGGGGACAUGUUAAAGUAUAAUAUAAAACCAUUAAAGUAGCCCUUACCCAACAGCUUAAGCUUUUGGGAUAAAGUGGUUAUUUGACAUGGUAUCAGAGCCUCUAUGGCUAAGACAACUUGAAAGUAGGAGAAAUUGUAUUAUUACUUCUUAAUCAGAAUACAAAGGAUAAUUACAUUAUAUAGAAGAAGACUAAUCCUAAAUAAGGAAAUAACUAAUUAUGUACACAAUCUCCUAAUAAGAGAAUAAAUCUCCUAAUACUGAAUAUAAUCUUCUAAUAAUAAUUCUUAUAUUAAUUCCUUAUUUACAACACCCCCCCUCAAGCUGGUGAAUGAAUAUCUAUCAUUCCCAGCUUGCAAGUAAGCUCUCGAAACCGCUCCAAGGGAAGUCCUUUGGUGAGCACAUCAGCCAACUGAAGUCCUGAGGGGACAUACUGUGUAGAUAUUAGACCACUAUCCAAUUUCUCUUUGAUGAAGUGCCGGUCUAUCUCUAUGUGCUUUGUUCUGUCGUGUUGGACUGGAUUAUGAGCAAUACUAAUGGCAGAUUUAUUAUCACAGAAGAGUCUCAUGGGAGCUUCAUACUUUAUUUUCAAAUCAUCCAGUAUGAUCUUCAUCCACAACAGUUCACAAACUCCUUGAGCCAUGGCUCUAAACUCUGCCUCUGCGCUUGAUCUAGCAACUACAUUCUGCUUCUUGCUCCUCCAUGUAACUAAAUUUCCACCCAAGAACAUACAAUAUCCUGUAGUGGAUCUCCUGUCAACAAUUGACCCUGCAUAAUCUGCAUCAGUAUAAACCUCCAUAGACAACUGCUCACUCUUCUUGAACAGCAGACCUCUCCCUGGACUUGCCUUCAGAUACUGCAAGAUUCUAUCCACAGCCUGUAAGUGUCUCUCCUGUGGGUCAUGCAUGAAUUGACUGACAACACUAACAGGAUAAGCUAUGUCAGGCCUAGUGUGAGAUAGAUAAAUGAGCUUCCCCACAAGUCUCUGAUAUUGAGCCUUAUCAACCCUAAGGUCCUCCUCACUACUUCCAAUCUUGUGGUUUUGCUCUAUAGGCACUCAAAUGGGCUUACAACCCAAUUUACCAGUCUCUUUGAGAAGAUCAAGGACAUACUUUCUUUGAGAUAUGAAAAUCCCUUGCUUUGAGUAUGCCACCUCCAUACCUAGGAAAUAUUUCAGUUUUCCAAGAUCCUUCAUUUCAAAUUGGGCUGCCAACUGUUUCCUCAGAUUCUGCUUCUCAAGUUCAUCAUUACCUGCAAUGAUCAUAUCGUCUACAUAGACUAACAGAAGAGUGAGUUUACCAUUUUGAGUAUGUUUGAUAAAGAGGGUAUGAUCACCUUGGCUUUGUUUAUAACCCAGAGACACCAUAGCAUUAGUGAAUCUCCCAAACCAAGCUCGGGGUGACUGUUUGAGCCCAUAUAGGGCCUUCUUCAGUUUGCACACCUUAUUUCUUCCUGAAGUAGGGUCAUACCCCGGUGGAAUCUCCAUAUACACCUCUUCCUCCAAAUCUCCAUGCAAGAAAGCAUUUUUAACAUCAAACUGUUGCAACUCCCAAUCAAAAUGAGCUGCUAAGGAAAGAAUGAUCCUUACAGUGUUCAUUUUUGCUACCGGAGCAAAUGUCUCUUCAUAAUCAAUUCCAUAGGUCUGGGUGUAUCCCUUUGCAACUAGCCUCGCCUUAUACCUGUCAAGUGUGCCAUCAGAUCGGUACUUCACGGUAUAAAUCCACCUGCAACCUACUGUCCUCUUGUCAUUUGGCUUCUCAACAAUCUCCCAAGUUCCAUUUUUGUCCAGUGCAUGCAUCUCUUCAUUCAUGGCUUGAAUCCAGUUCUUAUCUUUUAAUGCUUCUUGUACUGAUGUAGGGACUCUAAUAGAGUCAAUAGCUGAAAUAAAACUCUGAUGCUGCACAGAAAGAUUUUGAGUAGACACAAACUGGGAUAUAGGGUACUUGGCACAAGAACGUUUUCCUUUUCGUAAGGCAAUAGGUAAGUCAUCAAGGUUAUGCUCAUAGGAAUUACUAGGCUCAGGGUUCGCAACACUUACCUCAGGAUCAGACGAUUGGACUUGUUGUUGGAUCAGGACGGGUUUUACUUUCCGCUGGUACUUUAUCCUGAACCUGUCAACAUUAUUCUGAUCUGGUACUACUUCAGAACCAUUGUCAUCAUUCUCAUCUGGUACUAGUUCAGGACCAUUGUCAUCAUUCUGAUUUGGUACUAGUUCAGGACCAUUGUCAUCAUCAUCACUGUCCUCAGUGAUAGGAAUAGAGGAAGGCAUCAAGGGAUCCUGUAGAAGAGGAAUAACAGACAAUUCUGGAGACUCAACUUCCUGAGUAUUCCCCCCCCUGAAGCUGAGGAUUGGGAUAAAAAGACUCUGAUUCUUGAAAAGUAACAUCCAUGGAUAUAUAGACACGACGACUAGGAGGAUGAUAACACUUGUAGCCCUUUUUAUCUGAGGCAUAUCCUAUAAAGAUGCACUUAAUAGCCCGAGGAUCUAACUUACCCCGAUGAUGACCGUGAACAUGGACAAAGGCGGAACAACCAAAUACACGACUUUGAAGACCUGACUUAAUGGGCACAGACGGAAAGAAGCUAGUCAUAACCUGCACAGGACUAACACUAGAUAAAACCCUAGAAGGUAACCUAUUAAUUAAAUAAGCAGCAGUCAAGACAGCUUCCCCCCAAUAAAACUUAGGAACAUUCAUUUGAAAGAGUAAAGCUCGAGUGAUUUCAAGAAGAUGACGAUUUUUCCUUUCAGCAACCCCAUUUUGUUGUGGGGUGUCAACACAAGUCAACUCAUGAACCACACCAUUUUUUGUAAGAAAUUCAGAAAAAUUCUUGUUAACAUACUCUUUCCCAUUGUCUGACCUUAACCUCUUAAUAGGUUUCCCAAACUGUGUUCUAAUCAUGUGGAAAAAGUUAACAAAUAAUUGAAACACCUCAGACUUAUCUUUCAUAAGAAAAACCCAUGUAAUCCGAGUACAAUCAUCAAUAAAAGUAACAAACCAUUUUGCACCAAAAACAUUAGAAAUGGACGAAGGUCCCCACACAUCAGAGUGAACAAGAUCAAAAGGUUGAGCACAUUUAUUAUUACUAGGAAGAAAAGUUGAACGAUGAUGCUUAGAAAACUGACAAACAUCACAAUGAAAAGAUUCGACUGACACUUUUGAAAAUAAAUGGGGAAACAUGGUCCUAAGAAUACUAAAAGGAGGAUGCCCAAGACGCUUGUGCCGCAACCAUAUUUGAGAAGUAUUCCAGGACUCUGAACUCGUCUGAUGACACUUGCUUUCCUCGUGCCGCAGACAGUAUAACCCGUCCUGUUCCUUAGCAAUCCCAAUUAUCUGUCCCGUGGCAAGAUCCUGAAAAACACCAUGUGAGUGGAAAAAGGUUACAGCACAGUUCAAGUCUCGAGUGAGUUUAUGGAUGGACAAAAGAUUGUUAGAAAGCUUUGGGACAUGAAGCACAUGCUUUAAGGGAAGAGAUGGACUAAGGUGAAUAUUACCACAUCCCGUAAUCUGGUUUUGGGAUCCAUUAGCAACAGUGAUAUAGUGUUUUUCAGGGUAAGUGGAAUAAGAAGAUAAAUGUGAGGGGUGAGGUGUCAUAUGAUCUGUAGCACCAGAGUCAAUAAUCCAGUCAUUUUCAGUACUCAAAGCAUUAAGAGAUAAGAAGGUAGAACUCUUACCAGUCAUUGUGAGAGAACAAGAACCAGAGGGCUUACUCAAUGAGUCCAUAAAAGCUCUCAGACGCUCCAAUUCUGCUUUGCUAAGGCUAGGGACAUCUUCUGCUGGUGGUACAGGUGGGACUUCACCAUCAUUUUCCAUGUCAGAAGUUGUGUGAUUUGCGCGCCUCUGCGGAGCACCUUUGGACCCCCUCAUACGUCUAAGGACGUUUUCCCUUCCAUAAAGUUUGAAACAGUACUCUUUGGUGUGACCAGACCUCUUACAGUAAGUGCAACGAUCAUCACGGUUGAAGAGAUCAUCACGGUUGAAGCGAUCAUCACGGUUGGGGCGAUCAUCACGGUUAGGGUGUCCGGAAGAGGUGAAUCCUUUUAUGGGACCCUUUCCAGAGGCUAAGGCUGAACCAUCAACUGAUUUGUCUUCCACCAUCACUGUCCUCCUAGUUUCUUCACCACGAACUAUAAAGAACACCUCUGAGAGAGAAGGGAGUUGCUCUUUACCCAAAACUUGGACCCGAAUCGGAUCAAAUUCAGAGUUAAGCCCAGAGAGAAACUUAAAGAUUCGCGCUUUUUCAAUAAAUUUAUUCAAUGUUGUGGAGUCAGCAUCACACUUCAUCUUCAGAUUUUGAUACUGAUCUAAUUCAAUCCAUAGACCAUUCAAGGUCCCAUAGUAAUCUGUCACGGAGAGAGUUCCUUGCUUAGAAUUGAAAACUUUAUUUUCCAAUUCAUAACAAGCUGAGAGAUCUUGUUUCUUAGAAUAUGCCUGUGCCAGAUUAUUCCAAAUCUCCUUAGCAGUAGGGAAAAACAUAUAAUUCCGGCUAAUUUCCGGAAUCAUGGAGUACCAAAACCAGGUCAUAAUAAGAGAAUUCUCUUCACGCCAUGUGUCAUAUUGUGGAUCAGUUUCAGCAGGGGCUUUUUCUUCAAUAUAACUGAUUUUCUUGCGACUUAUGAGAGUGUGACGGAUGAGCUCAGACUAUUGGAGGUAGUUGCGCCCAUCCAAGCGAAAGGAACCUUGUAAUACCGGGAGAUCUUUGUGGGUCAAAGGUGGAAGAGAGACUUUCACUCCAGAAGUGAGUUUCUCCUUAGGUAUGGGAAUCUCGUCUCCAGACAUACUGAGAGAUGUUACUGUAGAAGGAAAACAAGAGGAAAAAUAACAGAAACAGAGAAGAUUGCACUCUCCUUGAAUGGAAGAACCAAAGGCUUCUCAAGAAAAAACACCAACAAAGUGAGGAAACGACCCUCAGAACAAGACCAAAAGGCACGGGGAACCCUCUCUGUGCAAUCGGAGUAACGAACAGAGGAUGGCAGGCCGGUGAUGAAGAGCACAGGCCUCCAAACGGUAUAAGCCAACAGUGGCAAAACAGGAAACGUUACCAGAUAAAAGGGCCGUAAUAAGACGGCUAGGGUUUUUUUCGCAGAAGCAGAACUCCCAAGAUCGGGAGCUCUGAUACCAACUUGAAAGUAGGAGAAAUUGUAUUAUUACUUCUUAAUCAGAAUACAAAGGAUAAUUACAUUAUAUAGAAGAAGACUAAUCCUAAAUAAGGAAAUAACUAAUUAUGUACACAAUCUCCUAAUAAGAGAAUAAAUCUCCUAAUACUGAAUAUAAUCUUCUAAUAAUAAUUCUUAUAUUAAUUCCUUAUUUACAACAGCUCCAAAUGUUCUGCAGUUUUAAUCAACACUUCUGGAGUUUAACUCUGAAAAAUACCUCCUGGAUCCCACUGUUUGAAGUUGGUCAAACCACUUAACGCGGCCCGUUUCGUUCCCGUCUUCCCCUUUUUCAUCAAGGUCAUCCCUGCAGAUGCAAAGUGUUGCAGUCUGUUCAGCGCCUGUGGUGGAAGAUGCUUGAUCCCUGAAAGACAUUUAACCCACAUUCCAUUCCUUUGUCUUGGCUCCCCUUCCUUAUUUAGAGACUUGCGUCUCUUCAUCGUCUUCGGUUGUUGAUGGAUCUUCCGAUGCUUUCUCCACCGGGGUCCAAGACUCACCCCAUCCCCUCUUCUUACAACCUCUGCUUCAAGAUUGGGUCUUUGCAUCUCAAAGGUUAAGGAUUUCUCCGCCUCUACUGUGGUCUCUAUCAUCUCUGAUUUUGAUUCUACUAAAUGGCCUUCUCUUGCAUUCUCCAAGACUUCAUUUAUCCUUGGGCUUUCUUCCUCUCUAGAAUCUUUAACAUAUACUGGUAUGUCAGGAUCCAUUUCUGGUUGGAAUUUCUUCAGUAAAGCCUUCACAAAAUCCCACCAUUUUGCAUUCUGGUUUCUUCUUUUCCAGAAAUACCACCAGAAGAAAGCAUCUCCCGUCAAAGCCAUCUCAGCCUCCGAGAACUUCUUCUCUUCAGCCAUUUCCAUGGCCUCACAGUGCUGCUCCACUUUGAUCAACCACCAGUAAGCCUCUUUACCAUCAAAGGUUGGAAACGCCUUACCUUCCCUCUUCUUAAUUGCUGUCUUCUUCUCCAUUUCUUCACGAUUCAAUUGCACCACAGCACCUGGAUGGUGCUCUGAUACCAAAUUGAUAGGAACCGAAUUAUAUUAUUUGAAUAAUUAUACAAGCACUGGUUUUCGAGAGCCAGCCUCUCCUAAUUCUGGAAUUUGAGAGUCCAGACCUCUCCCACCAUAACACUACUUCUGAAUUUCUGAAUGUCUAAACUAACAGCCACAACUCCUAUUUAUAACCAGAAAUUUAAUAACCACCCCUAGGCAGUUUUGAUAGAACAUAACUAACAUAAACUGAUGUAAAUAACUAAUAAUAACUAACCCAAUAACUACCCCAACAUAUAAUUAAAUAAUAACUUUCUAACUGCAAUCUAACUGCUACUGCUGCUACUGUUCACG
rnacentral:lncRNA from 1 species